UAAUCCAGAAGAACAAAAAAAAGGUGAGGCUGUGUAAUAAAGACUUUGUGAAACUUUAAUAAUUAUAGGAAGAGCAGGUAUGGAUAUCCAUGGUUUCUUUGAACUCCUCUUUGCUCGGUUGGCCUUUACUACGGCCUUUUGGACGUCCUGUGGUUUCCUCCUAUGAUGUUUUCCUUCCUGGCAUUAGAGAGUAACUGAGGAUGUAAGAUUGCACUGCCU
rnacentral:lncRNA from 1 species